GGAUUGACAGAUCAAGAGCUCUUUCUUGAUUCAGUGGGUAGUGGUGCAUGGCCGUUCUUAGUUGGUGGAGCGAUUUGUCUGGCUAAUUCCGAUAACGAACGAGACUCUGGCCUACUAACUAGCGGCGGUAUUCACGUCUCCCGCGCGACGCCGCGCUGCGCUGCGGCUGAGCACAGUCGUCGCCGUUUGCGCGAGCGCUCCGCGGAGCACCUGCAGUGCCGGCAGCCGCUUCUUAGAGGGACCAGCGACACUUUCGCAAGCCGCACGAGAAAGAGCAAUAACAGGUCUGUGAUGCCCUUAGAUGUACGGGGCUGCACGCGUGCUACACUGACGGCGUCAGCGUGCGUUCAAGCCCGGCCUGGCAAGGCCAGGAAAUCGGUUGAAACGUUCUCGUGACUGGGACAGGGAAUUGCAAUUAUUUCCCUCGAACGAGGAAUUCCCAGUAAGCGCGAGUCAUCAGCUUGCGUUGACUACGUCCCUGCCC
rnacentral:rRNA from 1 species